ensembl:lncRNA
CCAGUGUUACAAUAAAGUGUUAAAAUAAAGUGUUAGAUCAACACUGAACAGAAUGGGUCUAACACCAGAAGUGUCAGGUUUCAAAUAAGAGUUGGUGUUAUUUUACAUAGUUGCAGACGUCAACUCUCAUUCAGAGUUAAUCAUGCCACACCUCCAUUAACGUGCAGACAGACGUCAUUUUUUAUCGAAACAGACCACAUGCAGACGCCAUUUUACUUCGCUGGAAGCGUGGUGCCAGGAGUUCAGGUGCUUAAUCACAAUGAUUGUCAAAGCACAAUUUAGGAAUAGGAAGAAAUUCAUAAAAAUCUCAGAGGCGUGCUUUGAUUUAUUCCUAGCAGAGGUGAAAGAGAAGUUCUCAAUUCCAGACGACCUUGCUAUUACAGUUACAGAUGAAACUGGUACAGAGGUGGAUAAAGAUGUGUUUCCUGAUCUAAUGUCCACCAGUGGGUUGGUUUUAGUCAUAAAUGAGUUGACUGACAUUGGUGAGUGAAAACAGGACCUGUUGAAUGAUCUGUAUCCCAAUUUAUGAAUGAGUACUGGUAGUGUUUUAAUAUGUUCAGUGUUCAAAAUAUUGUAGGUGUACAACAAUGUAUUUCU